rnacentral:rRNA from 1 species
ACCGUGCGAAGGUAGCGUAAUCACUUGUUCUUUAAAUGAGGACUAGUAUGAAUGGCACCACGAGGGUUAUACUGUCUCCUUUUUUUAAUCAAUGAAACUGAUCUCCCCGUGAAGAAGCGGGGAUAAACAUAUAAGACGAGAAGACCCUAUGGAGCUUUAAACAAUCAUAGCACUGGCCCACACUUUUACCCUUCUGAGACAUAAUUAUUAUACAGGCCAAUAUGACUAUUAGUUUUAGGUUGGGGUGACCGCGGAGCAAAAACCAACCUCCACGUUGAACGGAGCUACUCCUGAGCUGAGAGCCACAACUUUAAGCACCAAUAAAUUGACAUCAAUUGACCCAACAUGUUGAUCAACGAACCAAGUU